rnacentral:lncRNA from 1 species
GGUGUCAGAAGCCCUCAAACUGGAGUUACAGACAGAUAUGAGCUGCAAUGUGAGUGCUGAUAAUGGAAUCAAACCCAGGCCAAGAGCAGUCAGUGCUUCCAACCACUGAGCCAGACUGAGGCUUUGGCUCUUGAAGGUCUUACCAAAUCCCCCAAAGCCCCAGAGACUGGAGACCAAGUUGCCGAUCUCUCAGCACUGAGCACAUGGAGCAGCAGGCUGCAUCUAUCUGAAGCAUCCAGGGCAUUACUACGAAUCUUCGGAGGCAUCCAGCUGAGGCUUGCUUUACUCCAAUGCCUUCCUGAGUCCAGCUUCUCUCCUGCAUGGUCUGAACUGCAACCUGGAGAAGCUCUAACCACAGGCGCACUCUUAACCUCCCUAACAAGACAGCCCUGAAGGUCAGCAUCAGAAUUCAAGGUCAGCCAUAACCUUGGUGUGUGACUCACUUCUGAGCUUCUACAUCAUCCUUAAAAAAUAAGGCUAAAAUCUCUACUUUGCCAAGUUUCCAUGGAGUAGAGAUACAAAGAUAUGAGGAUAGCAGGAGUGAAAAUGUCCUGGGGUCACUUGGUCCCCAAGUUUGCUGAACCCCUGCAAAGCACCAAGUGUGAGCCUCAGAAGAACAGAGAUCAGUUACUACACUCCAUGGGCCAAUCUGGCCCACUACUUGUUUCUGUCAA